CCAAGACAAGGAAUAAAUUAAUACAGGCAACUCAGCAACUGUGCUGAAUCAGCUCCAGUUCCGGCAGACCACUGACUACAGUGCCCACCGACUCAAGAGAAGGACUGGAGAGAAAAGGAAGCACUAAUCCAGUGGUGAGUGGAGUGUGGGAGAGUAGCACCAGGAACCCCUGAUUGCACCAAGAGCUCCAAAUUCCAGUGUUUCACGCCCCACUCUCACCUCCUCUGCAUGUUGAUCCUGGAGUUCCGCAUGGGGGCCCUUGGUCCUUGCCCCCCGCCCGGCUUGUGUCCACCCGGGGUCGGGCCGGUCGGGACGGUCAGCGGGCGGGACAGCGAGGGGACAUUCCCGCCCACGGACACUGCACAGGAGGGAGCAUCCUGCUGCUGCAGACACCACACGAGCAGCAAGGGGCUUGGGGGGAGGAUUCCACCGGGCCAGGCAACGCGCGGCUGAUGUGCAAGCUAGUGAAGAGACUUCACAGCAUUCUAGAGUGCCUGGACUACUGCACCUCGGAACCGUUUCCUGACUGCCCCAAACACCCGGUGCAACACAGCAAAAAUAUUUUGGCUAGCAGCUCCCUCAUAAAAUAGUUAACUUCAGAUAAAUUUAAAAUAAAACAUAACGAGUGGGUUUUCUUCAUUGCUUCUCAAUCGUUUCUCUACUUCGUAAUUCAAUUUAAAAAUGACGGCACUGAAGAUAUAGUAGUAGUAUUUUGGAUAAUACAUGGUUGAAUUUUUUGAUUCAAGAGGUACUGCUUACUGAUUCAAGUCACAUAGGCAUUAAUUAUAAACAGGAACUUGGACCAGUGUUGGUUGAAUGCUCAGACUUAGAUUUUUAAAAUUAAAUAUUAAUAAAUCCUCCUUUAUCUCCCUCCCACUUUCCUAAAAGAGCUGGUUGGGGUUUUUGUUUUUGUUUUUGUUUUUUUGUUCUCUUUGGCUAGGCAUCUCUACUCU